GGAAGUAAAAGUCGUAACAAGGUAUCCGUAGGUGAACCUGCGGAUGGAUCAUUACCAAUUUUAUAUUAUUAGUGUUGUGUCUCCGUCAAAAGAGGCUACAACUACUACUAUUGUAAACGUUGAACUAGAUCAUUGGUUGUGGAUUGCUUGGGAAUGGACGAAGCGACAAGCCUCUUCCGGACAGGCAAACCCCACACCGAUAACCUUUUCAUAUAUUACACCAAUAUAUACUACAAACAAACAAACAAAAACAAAAGCUAUAAUAGGACUUAUAUACGAAUUGAGUGGGUAAAAUCCUCGAUUCUAAAAAAUAACUAUUACAACUUUCAGCAAUGGAUCUCUAGGCUCUCGCAUCGAUGAAGAACGCAGCGAAUUGCGAAACGUAAUGUGACUUGCAACCCUCGUGAAUCAUCGAAUCUUUGAACGCAUCUUGCACUAUUCGGCUUCCCCGGAUAGUAUGCCUGGUUGAGUGUCUGUGUAUCUCUCCUAUAUUAUCAUUUUUGUGAUGAUUGAUAUAGGGACUUGGGGUCUUAAUCGUCGGACAACCUUCGUUUCGUUGGUAACCCGGUGAACCCUUUAAAUAUAGUAAGCUCCCAUCUUUUUUGGAAAUACGCAAACUUGGGGAUGGCGUCGUAGCAAUCACUUUUAGUAUUGUCGAAACGCCUACUACCACUCCUAAUCUGCGGUGCUAAUCCAUUCGAGUGUGGGCGAAGCUUGACGACUGGCAAAGUGCCAUGCUCCACUUCAAUUCGGAGUACACGAACAAUAAUGACCUCAACUCAGGUAGGACAACCCGCUGGACUUAAGCAUAUCAAUAAGCGGAGGA
rnacentral:rRNA from 1 species